GAUGAACGCUAGCUACAGGCUUAACACAUGCAAGUCGAGGGGAAACGAUAUUGGAAGCUUGCUUCCGAUAGGCGUCGACCGGCGCACGGGUGAGUAACGCGUAUCCAACCUGCCCACCACUUGGGGAUAACCUUGCGAAAGUAAGACUAAUACCCAAUGACGUCUCUAGAAGACAUCUGAAAGGGAUUAAAGAUUUAUCGGUGAUGGAUGGGGAUGCGUCUGAUUAGCUUGUUGGCGGGGUAACGGCCCACCAAGGCGACGAUCAGUAGGGGUUCUGAGAGGAAGGUCCCCCACAUUGGAACUGAGACACGGUCCAAACUCCUACGGGAGGCAGCAGUGAGGAAUAUUGGUCAAUGGGCGAGAGCCUGAACCAGCCAAGUAGCGUGCAGGAAGACGGCCCUAUGGGUUGUAAACUGCUUUUUAUAAGGGAAUAAAGUUAGUCUCGUGAGACUUUUUGCAUGUACCUUAUGAAUAAGGACCGGCUAAUUCCGUGCCAGCAGCCG
rnacentral:rRNA from 1 species